rnacentral:rRNA from 1 species
UACGAAGGGGGCUAGCGUUGUUCGGAAUCACUGGGCGUAAAGGGCGCGCAGGCGGCUUUAUAAGUCGGGGGUGAAAGCCUGUGGCUCAACCACAGAAUUGCCUUCGAUACUGUAGAGCUUGAGACCGGAAGAGGUAAGUGGAACUGCGAGUGUAGAGGUGAAAUUCGUAGAUAUUCGCAAGAACACCAGUGGCGAAGGCGGCUUACUGGUCCGGUUCUGACGCUGAGGCGCGAAAGCGUGGGGAGCAAACAGG